rnacentral:rRNA from 1 species
UACAAAAACAUUUUUCCUCCUCUAAACCAAAACAUUUUACACCUCCCAGUAUAGGCGAUAGAAAAGAACCCCCCACUACCAGGCGCUAUAGAGAUUUAAAUGUACCGUAAGGGAAAGAUGAAAUAAUAAUGAAAACCCAAGCACAAAACAGCAAAGACUUACCCUUGUACCUUUUGCAUAAUGAUUCAGCAAGAAUAACCAAGCAAAAUGAACUUAAGCUUGCCACCCCGAAACCCAAGCGAGCUACUCACGAGCAGCUACCUAUUGAGCGAACCCGUCUCUGUCGCAAAAGAGUGGGAUGACUUGUUAGUAGAGGUGAAAAGCCAAUCGAGCUGGGUGAUAGCUGGUUGCCUGUGAAAAGAAUUUAAGUUCCACCCUGAUCAACUCCAACAAGAAACCCCCCCCCCCCCCCCCCCCCCAACUAUCAUGUAGACACUCAGGAGCUAUUUAAAGGGGGUACAGCCCCUUUAAAAAAGGAUACAACCUCCCACAGCGGAUAAUUUUUUUUCCUAUAACUGUUGGCCUUUAAGCAGCCACCAACAAAGAGUGCGUCAAAGCUCAUAUACAAAAAUCCUAAAACAAUUAAAAUCCCUGUACCCUAAUAACAGGCUAACCUAUGGACAAUAGGAGAAUUUAUGCUGAAAUGAGUAACCAGGACCCCUUCCUCCAAAGCGCAAACUUACAUCCUUACAUUAUUAACCAGCACAAGAUAUUCCCACCCUCCCCACAAGACCCAAUAUCACUUGCCCUGUUAAGCCUACCAAGGAGCGCCUAACAUGCGAAAGAUUAAAAUCUGUAGAAGGAACUAGGCAAACCCAGGACCCGACUGUUUACCAAAAACAUAGCCUUCAGCCCUCCAAGUAUUGAAGGUGAUGCCUGCCCAGUGACACCCUGUUUAACGGCCGCGGUAUCCUAACCGUGCGAAGGUAGCGCAAUCAAUUGUCCCAUAAAUCGAGACUUGUAUGAACGGCUAAACGAGGUCCUAACUGUCUCCUCCAGAUAAUCAGUGAAAUUGAUCUCCUCGUGCAAAAGCGAGAAUGAGAACAUAAGACGAGAAGACCCUGUGGAACUUCAAAAUCAACGACCACAAAUUUCUCCACUUCCACCCUAAUAGGCUCACUCUCACCCACCAUGACGACUGGUCCGUAUUUUUCGGCUGGGGCGGCCCUGGAGUAAAACGAACCCUCCAGAAACAAGACCUCGCUUCUUAACUAAGAACAACUCUUCAACGUGCUAACAGCCUCCAGAUCCGGUAUCAACCGAACAAUGAACCAAGCUACCCCAGGGAUAACAGCGCAAUCCCCCUCAAGAGCCCAUAUCGACAGGGGGGUUUACGACCUCGAUGUUGGAUCAGGACAUCCUAAUGGUGCAGCCGCUAUUAAGGGUUCGUUUGUUCAACGAUUAAUAGUCCUACGUGAUCUGAGUUCAGACCGGAGUAAUCCAGGUCGGUUUCUAUCUAUGAUAGAUUUUUCCCAGUACGAAAGGACCGGAAAAAUAAGGCCCAUACCACAAGCAUGCCUUUCUCUCAAGUAAAGAACCCAACUAAACUACACAAAGAGCUCCCAACAUUAAUCCUAGAAAAGGAUAGCUAGCGUGGCAG